GAUGAACGCUAGCGGCAGGCCUAAUACAUGCAAGACGAACGGUAAGUUGAGUAGCAAUACUUAGCCAAGAGUGUCGUACGGGUGCGUAACACGUAUGCAACCUACCCUAUACAGGAGGAUAGCCUAGGGAAACCUGGAUUAACCCUUCAUAGUAUUAUUGGAUGGCAUCAUUUGAUAAUUAAAACUGAGGUGGUAUAGGAUGGGCAUGCGUCUGAUUAGUUAGUUGGCGGGGUAAUGGCCCACCAAGACGAUGAUCAGUAGGGGUUCUGAGAGGAAGAUCCCCCACACUGGCACUGAGAUACGGGCCAGACUCCUACGGGAGGCAGCAGUAGGGAAUAUUGGUCAAUGGAUGCAAGUCUGAACCAGCCAUGCCGCGUGCAGGAAGAAGGCCCUUCUGGGGUUGUAAACUGCUUUUGCCAGGGGAUAAAAUUUCCAUGCGUGGAAAACUGAAGGUACCUGGUGAAUAAGCCACGGCUAACUACGUGCCAGCAGCCG
rnacentral:rRNA from 1 species